GUGGAGAGAAGAAAUGAGUUAGCAGAAUGGAAAGAUAUAUGUCUGGACAGGAAAUCACACGCUUUGGAAGCUGCAGCAUGGUGAGUCUCAGGAGUACAUCUUGGAAGAGGGACUGAAAAGAUUUUAAUAGCCAGAGGACUAUAAAGUCUGUGGUGAGACUGUGCCUUCUAGUUAUGAAAGAGAAGCUUUCCUGAAGAAUUUUCCACCAUGUGGCUACCUACACAAGACCUGGAAGUUCCAUUCAGAUUCCACAUUCCAGUGUCAACAGAGAAAAUCUCACAGGACUCUUUCCAUAGAUGAAGACCUACAAGCAAUUAACACCUGUUGAGAGGGGGAGAAUUGUCUUCCCCUGGCAUGCACUGUCUGAUUUGUUGUCUAACACCAAGUUAUCAGUCCUAAAUGUCUACUUUAGACAUCACUGAAUGAUCUCAGAAAAAAUAAUGAUAAUAAAAAUUACAUACUAAAGCCAGUAAUAAUUAUAGCUUGAAUAAGGAAAGGUCCUUGAAGAUCUAACCUUGGAAGUGCUCGUGUCCACUGACAUGUUCCUGGGAAAGAAGAGUCACUACUUUGGGAUCUGGUGACUACUGUGCUGAUUAUAAAUAUGACCCACCAAACUUGAAUAAAGAUGAACUUAAUUCUA